rnacentral:lncRNA from 1 species
UGCAAGAAGCAUCAGUUUCCUAGUUUUGUAUGUUCCACUCAGUUAUAGCUUUCAUUGAUUCUGCAGAUAUCAUUAUCUUAUGACGGGAUUUCCCAUUUGGUCUCACUUUAUUCCCAGAAUUCAGUUUCGCACAACAAAUGCACUUUAUUCCCAGAAUUCAGUUUCGCACAACAAAUGCACCUUUUAAGGUACUUGGUACUUUUAUUCUUGCUAGUGGAAUUGGUUUAGCUACUUUUUUAUAUCAAAUUUUGAUAUUUAUCAUAAAAAUUAAUUUAUUAUCUAUAUAUAUAAAGCAAAAGGCAGAGAAUGGUGAAACAUUCAAAAUACCAGAAAAUGCCCUUUGUUAAUUCAAACAUUAAGAAUUGAAAUGAUUAAUUAAAUGAGGAUAAUAUGGUAAAUUCAUAUUUUUUAAUAUUAAAAAAAUUAAAAUUAAAAACAAAAUAAGAUAAUAGGUCCUACUUUUAUGGAACAUAACUACUCUGUUAUUUUUUCUUAAUUCUAAAAAUAAAAAUAAAAAAGAAAAAGAAAACCAAUUGGCACAUGCGUGAGCAUGUGUCAAGGGGCUAGUUAUGAUAAAAUAACAACUUCAUUAGAAAACUUUCGUACAUACAGUUAGAUAUCAACAAGACAUCCAAAUCACCAAGCCCAAGAGGGCAACAAAACUAACAUGCUAAAAAAGCAGACACGCCAACAACUACUAGCCCACACCACUACAAUUAAGUUAAACCUCAGACAAAGCCCACAAACCCUAAAAUAACACAUAAGCCUAAAUGAACCCUACCUCCACCACCUAAAGAAGCGCCGCCGUCCACCACACCACCGCAUCUAACCUUAAGCAGAUACAAAACCUCUUAUGAAUAUUGGGAACAAGGUUUCCAGUGAUCCAACUACGCAUAAUAGUGAACAACAAUGCCAAUCGAAAAAACAUGGCAAAAACCAAUCAGGUAGAUUGCAUCAAACUCCUUCAAAUGCGAGGUAGAAUUGAAUUUAGAGAAGAAGAGAAAUUAGCCCAAAAGAUGUGAUGGGGAAUUUCAAACUGAGCAUGGCUCAAAAGAAAUCACCACAAGGGGCUUCUUAUUCAAAAGGCCAAAGUGAACUUAUUCACUCACCCAAAAGAAAAAUGAAGGAAAAGAUGAUAAGGGAGGAGGGAAAAUGACGCUUCUUCCUCCUCCCUUUCUAUUGAGUUUUUCCUUUGGAACUUAGAGAGUGAGAGCGGCUAGGGUUUCUUUUACUCAUAAAAAUUUGUUUUAAGUGUUCUUUUAGAGUAUAUCAAACUAAAAUUACUCAUUUACACAUAUAAAAUAUUAAUAUAAAGCAUAUAAAAACUAAAUUAUACUUCAUACUAAGUCGGAUCAGAUUAUUAUCGGAUCAAAUAAACUAUAAUCCAUAUCCAUAUUUAUUUAUAAUUGGAUUACCAGAUUCGAGUUGUAAUCGGAUUAUCGGAUUGAGAAGUACAAUUCAUCUCCUAUUAAUUACACCGGAUUUGGAUCGAAUUAGGAUCAAAAUCUGAUCCAUUGGCAGGUCUAAUCACUACACGUUUUCCUCGCAAUUGUAUAGUCUGGCUAACAAGGAACAAAAUAAACCGAAGCUAACAUGUCAAUCUGGUGGAGUUGAAUCAAUCAUGAACACGAGAAAGAAAUAAAAUAGAGUUUAGAAGAUUGCUUAAUAAAAGCGUACGAUCUGUACUGCCUGCUAGCUUCUCUAUAGAGUCUGCAAUAGCAAAAACCGAACGUUAUCAAACAAUGAAGAACUAAUCCUCAUAAGAAUUAUGUGAAAAAUUAAUUGCUGAAGGAGGACAUACCAGUGCUCCGACUCCUUUUAAUCUGAUUGCUGCUACUGAAUGAGCCCGUAUGAUAUUUUCAUGAAAAUAAAAGUUGGGAGUUAAUAACUUCCAAUUAAUAUAAGGGGAACAAACUCAGUUUGCAUUUUGUUUUACCAAAUUGCUUCAAACUCUUCUAAAAUAAACCUAUUGCCACUUUGAAAGACAAAUGCCUUCAAAGACAAAGUAAAAUGCCAUGUUAUCCAACCCUCUGGUUAGGCAUAUAGCAUACUUGAGGACAGAUUAAUCCUCAUUGCCUGCAAACUGUUGUUUGCAUGGCAGAAAAAGACACGAAUUCGAACAUGUAUGAUGAACAAGGUUUAAUAGUUCGUGGCAUACUAACCGUGGCCGAGGUAGCAGUUCUUCAGGAAGAGAAGUUAUGAUCUGCAUCUUUAGAUCAGGAAAGUACCAAAUGUGUUCCUGAGGAUUAUCCUUCUUUUCAAAAUCAUAAUAUUUCUUCAAUUCAAGUGGAUCAACCAACACAAGGUCCGUUGGUCUUGGAUGAACAGCAGGAUUGGGUUCUUUUGACUCUUUAUCCACUUUCAUCCUCCAGCGUCGUGUAAUGAAUACCUCUUGGAGGUUUGGGAAGCAGGUUGAGUAAAUCUUUUUUUGACCAGAGGUAUACUGACAAGAAUCCAUUCCAAUCCUGAAUAAGUAGCCCAAAUUUUCACAGUCUGAGAUAUGGAUGACCUUUAAUUUAUUCAAACAAGGUGCGAAUGGCAAAGGGUCUUCUUUUGAUAUCAAGGCCUCCAUCUUCUGACAAUUUUUAACCGAAAUUUUUUCGAGGUUUGGAAGGUUGUGUGACACGUUCCUCUCGAAUAAAUAGACCAAACUUUCGCAGCCAGAUAUAUCUAUGACCUUCAGGCUGUCUAGACAACGUCGACCACUAAUAGGCAACCAAUAUAGAUCCUUGUUGCUCAUUACAUGCAGCUCAGAGGUGUCUUCUGGGAGUGACACUGGUUUUCCACUCACAAGAAAGUCACUUUUGAUGAAAACUAUGCUGUUUUCAGGUAACUUUGUUUUAUCCCAAGAACCACCCACGGAGAAUUUGAAUUUGGAUAGAGAAUGAUCCUUCGAAUCCACAUAUGUGUUGAAGGCUUUUGCAUCUAGGAAGUUGAUAUGAAGAAUAGCUAAAUGCUGAAGGGCUCCCAGCUCCUGAAUACAACUAGCUGCUUUCUCUGAUCCCCACAAACUACUUGCUCCUUUCUCUGAUCCCCACAGAGAACCUGCAGAGUCAUUGGUUAUCAAGAAGAGUUCUUCCAGAUUUUUUAACUCACGCACUAAUUCAGCUUGAAAUUCUCCCACAUUGGUACAGGACAGGUCGAGGCGAAUAAGCUUGGUUAGUUUCUUCAUGCCAUCAGGUAAUUCUGUUAUGGGAGUAUCAGAAAGGUCCAGAACAAGUAGUUCCUCAGAGUUUGCUAAAGAAGGCAGAGAUGUUAAGUUGCAACAACCGCGCAAGAGGAGUGCCCUUAGUUUUGUCAAGUAAGAAGAGGCUGACUUUGGAAGGGUAGAGAUAUUGGUAUGAGAAAGGUUAAGAACUUUGAGGUUAGGCAUAUUACGGAAGAAAUCGUCAUCAAAGUGAGAGAUGGGGUUGUGCUGCAGAAGUAACGUGGAUAGCUUGUAAAACUUGGGUUUUUUUGUAAGUGCUUUAAACUGACUUUUCAUCAAUGAGGCUCUCUCUACUUUAGACAAGUUCCUCCCUAUCAGCGGGCAGUCGGUAAGCUUCACCCCGGCUUCGAUGAGAAACUGAUCAUAAUCGGGGAUUGUUUUGGUCAGAUGGAUUGCCAUAUGCCUAACUAAGUUGCGCAUCUUGAUGCAUUCUUUUCCACCUUCACUAACUGCUUCCAGAAGGUAAGCUCCUUUGAUCUCAUCCAGUAUCUCUCUUGCAUAUGUCGUAUCUUCUAUCAGCUGCCCCUUAAUUCUUUCUCUGCUACUCAGUAAACCUUCCCAAAACCAGUGCUCCACUAACUCUUUCUUUUCAAUGCAAUGACCAGGUGGGUAUAAUGCACAGUACAGGAAGCACUGCUGAGCUUCUUGCUUCAACAUAGAGUAGCUAUUUAACAGGCGGGCAAAUGCCUUCCUAUUCUUUUUUUCCAAGAGAACACUAGAAUUUCUCAACUUAUAAAAUGCUCCAUUCCAUUCUGCAUCGACAUCGACAUCGACAUCGCUAGGAUCCAAUUUCAUUAUUUCUUUCAAGGUUUGAGCCAGACCAGCAAUCGCCACGGGCAGACCAUCACACUCACGUACCAUGUUUACCGCGGCCGCUCGAGUAUCUUCCCUUAGUGCAGAAAAUCCAAUGCCAGCUUCAACCUCGAACAACUUGAGUGCUUCUUCGUCUGAUACAAGUUCGAUUUCGACCUCUCUAUCAAAUGUGAUGCCCCUGCACACUGGACGUGAUUUUGAAACGAUUAUAACCUUGGAGCCAUUGUUUGUUUGCCAUGGAAUCCCAAUAUGCUCGAGAGACAACUCCUUCCGCAUAUCAUCCAAAACGAUCAGAAAUCUUCUCUGCCUCAACGCACUGUCCAACUUGUCUGCUCUGUUCCCAGCACUGUGGUCGUCAAGUUGUAAUUCCUUUUGGAUGCCCUUCUGCAGGGCAGCAAUGGCUGCCUCAGGUGGUCCAACAUUCUCUACAGUCACCCAAAUAACUUUCUCAAAUUGGGCUGUGAUAUUUCCAUCUCUGCCAUCUUCUGAGGUACAACUUUUGUACUGUUUCAAUAUUUGGUUAUUGACUUCCUUUAAAACUUCAGUCUUUCCCGAACCAGACAUCCCAUAAACACAUAUGAUUCCAACCUCCUUUUCUGAAACGCACUUCAUAAUUUUCUCAAAAGCACUUGCUGUCUUGCCCACCAGUUCUUUUGUGUUCUUCUGUAUAUAUCCCACCACAAAGUCUUCUUCCACAUUAAACAAAUAUGUGCCCUCCUCUUUCAGUAAAUUUACCUUUUCAAUUCUGCCGAGGAUGGAUUUCCCAGCUUUAUACUGUGAACGAUAAUAGUUUGGGAAACCACACCAAUUCCCACUUAUUGUGUCCUCAAAAUUCAACUCAUUAGUUUCAGUUAUGAAGUCAUUUGACCUUUCUAACCAGUCGGAGAUUUUGUAAGGCUUGCUCACCACCUUCUCCUCAGAUUCGCUCUCUACUUCACAUCUUCGGCUUUUCAAAAGGGCCAUGCCUUUUUUUAAAGUCUCUAGAUAUUCUUUGCGUUUUGCAAAAUAUUUAUAUUUCUCUUCAAGGGGAGUGCCUAAACAGGUUGAAUUCUGCAGACAACCAAUGAGAGAGGCAACAAGCUCCACAAACUCUGCUACGGGCAAAAAAUGGGAGACAAAUGAAAGAAAAAAAUUAAAGAGAGGAUUAGAUGAUGAGAGCUAGUAUCAUGCAUGGUAUAAGUUAACAUGUAUAUUGUAAUAUUGCAAGAGAGAAUUAUAUGAUCAUUUUCAUUUUGCUCCUGCAUAAAAAAAUUGUUGAGAUAGAAACCAACUUUUGUUUAUUUUCUUUUUCUCUUUCAUUAUUUUUCUCAGUGUUGCCUCAGUAGAAGAGAAGACUUCGGGAAAAAAAAAAAUCCAUAUUUACUGUUGAGAACAAAAAUGUAAUCAAUAUAUACCUGCCAUUGCUAUUAUUCGUUUUGAUCAGUCACUCUUUCACAUGUAAAUUCCAAUUUCAGGUUCCCGUCUCCUGUAGUUUAGAGACCAGUGAGAUCCUUAUACAGAAAUAAUAAUAAUAAUAAUAGUCAAGUAUAUUUUAAAAAGCACAGACCGAAACAAACAAAAUUAUCAAGGCAAUAGUAAAGCAUGAAAAAAAGAAAACAGAAGAAACUACAAUUUUUACUUCGGACCUCAACCCCCGCUAUGUUGAUAGUAUCAUGCAUAAAAGAUGUUGGGAUUCUCCACCACAUGAGUUGUUUGGACAUCUCUUGGGUCUUUCACCAACAUUAAUUGUUUCUGCGCAUUAGAGAUUUGGAGGUUUAACAAUAUUGCAUAGUCUAGGCUACGUUUGGUACAUUCUAUAACUAAAACAUGUUUUUUCAUUCAUUAAUCUUUAUGUUGUCAAACUAAGUGGGGAAAAUAUUCAUAUAUGUAUUCUUUUUUAAUAUGGGGGUAUUUAUAAGGAAGUACAACCCUAUAUAAAAUAGGAAAUCAUUCUGAAUUAUAGGACUAGACAAAUAGGUAAGUAACCAAAAAUCCUAACAUAGUAAGGAACUAUAAUCCUAACCACGUAAGGACUCAUCACCACUCUCCCUCAAGUUGGCGCAAAGAUGUUCUCAUGCCCAACUUGACAAGUUAGUCAUAGACCCAUACUCGACAUCGUAAAUCAUGAGUGAAAGCAACUGACAAACCAAAUCAAAGUUCGCAGCAAACCAUAACAAACAGCGCACAUAGCAUAACACAUAAAUCUUAUGAGCAGAGCAGUAGAUAAGGUAGAACACAAAAACCCUAUAAGCAUUAUAGUAGGUAAGGCAGAAUGCGAAAACCCUAUGAGCACAGCAAUAGGUAAGUAUGAAACAUAUUUAACAAACUAGGUUUCAUAGUGCGUACCAUCCAACUUUUCAUAGUAGCAUAAUCAAUUUUCCACUUUCCAAAUUGUGGAUCUUUGGAAUUUGGGGCAUAAGAGUCACCAAUUAGGUAACCUAAUUUUCCUUGUGAAGUAGCAUAGAGUUCGAUCAUUGAAGCUCAAAUCACAUGGUUGGAUCCAUUCAAUUUGAAUCCUAAGGGUAGGUUGGUGGACGAUUCAGUGUGAACCAUCACAAUAGAGGUAGGAGAAGCAGUAGGUGAAGUAAAACCAGAAGCAUGUGAAGAAAUAAAGGCAUCAACAUUCGGCAUAGUGAUGAAUGGCGGGAUGACGCCAAUGUCGGUAGUAGUAAGGUAGACGGCGGCAACAAGAAAUAGGUAGUGUUUAAGGUUAGAGUUGUUUAUGUUGUAGAGACGGAUCGAAACACAGUAACAACAUCGACAAUGACAAAAGGGAAUUCCUCCUAAGUCAUCGGAAACUUCUCUUCAUUUUCCCUCUCCCAUUGAAGAAAAGGGGUCGUCAGACCCAAGAAAUAGGCAUUAUCUUCAUGGGAAAUAUAAACAUAUCAUUUUCACUCCCCCUUCCCCCCUCCCCCCCUCUCCCUCUACAGAGAAGACCACGUAAAUUGCAAGAAGAAUGCAAGCACAAGUCACAAGAGAACCUGAGCUAUGAUACCAUGUCAAACAAAGUAGGGCAAACAUUCAGAUAUGUAUUCUUCUCCAAUAUGGACGUAUUAAGGAAGUACAAUCCUAAGUAAAAUAAGAAAUAAAUCUAAAUUACAAUAGAAAAUAAAUGUGAAUUACAAUAAGAAAUAAAUCUCAAUUAUAAUAAGACUAGACAAAUAGGUAAGUAACCAAAAAUCCUAACUAAGUAGAACUGGUCAAUAUGUCACAUAAAAUUUUGUCAUGGUCCAUUUGGAUCUAUUACAAUCUAUAUAUGCAAAGAUUAGAUUUCAAUUAACUUCUCGCAUAAACUUGUUUCAAAUUCAUUUUAUAGAUGUACCUUUUUUUUUGGGUCAGAAUUUUAUAGAUGUACUAAGUCUAGUUAUUUUGGAUACCAAUAGAAAAUCUGAAAGUGAAUCUCAUAUAUUGUUUCAUUAAUUGCAGUACAGAAAAACUUGAUUUACCACCUACCCAAUACCCACUUGUUGAAGUUGGCUCGCCUAAAGAUGCGAAGGAAUGAAAGAAUCAUGUCAGUAAGGUGUUGUAGGAACUUUACAGACCGACUGCUGCUCGAGCGGCAGAACGUAGGCUCGAGCAGACCCAUGCGCUCAAGUGGAUGCAAGGCGCACUCGAGCGGCAGCCGUGUGACUUGUGCAGGUCCAUCUUGUUUUAUUAUGGAUUUUCUAUUUUAAUAGGGUAUUUUAGGUUUCCUAUUCCUUGUAUGCUUGUAAUUAAAAGCCUAUGAGUAUAAAUAGGCCUUUUAGGAGUUAGGGUUUGUGAGAGGGUUCACAAUGGCAUCAAAAAUGGGUUUAAGCAUUGUGUGUGAGAAAUUAAGAUCUAGGGUUCUUAAGAGUGAAAUGAGGUUUCUUGUAAACCAAAGGUAUUCUUAUUACUAGUGAAAUUUUUUGAGGCAAUCACCAAAAAAGAUGUAGGCACAACACCGAACUUCUAUAAAUUCUUGAGUUUGUUUGCUUUCGUUUUGAGUGUGUGCAUUUUUUUCUUCUUUGUGGUUUGUGUGUGUGCUCGAAGUAUAGUCCAUCGAUAACAAGGUCUUGAAGUGUUUAACACAUAACAAGUGGUAUCAAAGCUAUGGUUAGCAAUGGGUGUUAGUUUAUGCCCAAGUGCUCUUACAAUUAGAAGAGCAUUUGUGUGUUGGAGAUGGCAAACAACAAGAAGGUUGAAGAUAUAAAGCCGAAGCAACCACAUACGGCUAGCAUGAAGAUUGAGUUGAAGUUGUUCACCAGCAAGGAGAACUUCACGUUUUGGCAAAGACAGAUGAAGCAUGUCAUAACACAGUAGAAUCUCAAUGUUGUCUUGGCAGGCAAGGAAAAUAAGUUGGAAACCAUGACAUAGCACAGUAGAAUCUCAACGACAGACGAGGAGUGGAACUCGCUUGACAAGUUAGCUAGGGGCCAUUGAGAACUACAUCGCAAAUGAGGUGUUGUUCAACGCGAUGGAAGGCAUCGCGAAACAGAUAUGGGAAAAGCUCGAACAUAUGUUUGUAGGGAAGUCACUGUCAAACAAACUCUUCUUGAACGAAGAGCUCCUAAAUCUUCAUAUUAAGGAGGCAGGAAACAUGAUGAAGCAUUUUAGCACCUUUAAUAGGUGUAUUGCAUACUUAAAGAGAAUGGAUGUGGUAUAUAUCACAAAGGAUAAGGCAAUGAUGUUGUUUACAUCAUUGCCUCAAUCCUAUAAGAACUUCCUAAUGACACUAAUGUUUUGCAAAAGUACUCUGAAUUUUGAGCAACUGGUUCAAGACAUUUUGAUGCACCACUGAUAGCUCAACAUUCUGGAGAGAGCUAUCAAGAUGAAGGUCUUAUGGCAAAGACUGGAGAGAGGGGCUUUUCAAUUAAGCGCGCGAGGGCAAAAAAAGCAAUCAAGAAUGUCAAAAUUUAGGGCAAAAGACAAUUAUUUUGAUUGUGGGCUAAAAGAUCAUUGGAAGAAAAAUUGUCCUACAUGGUAAGAGAAAAGAAACAAAGGGAAGAAGGCAGCUGAGUGGGGUCACUACAGAUAAUGUCCUACAUGAUAAGAGAAGAGGAAUAAAGGAAAGUAAGGGUGAGCAUUAUAAUGUUCAUUAGCCAUGCAGAGGGGAGGAGGAGGAGGGGGGGAAGAGGGGGGGCGCCCUCCCGUCCACGUUUGAAAAUAAGUAAUUAAAAAUAAUAUAGUAUGAUUUGCCAGAUAUAGAAAACAAUGAAAGAGUAUACACAACACAAAUCGUAUCCAUUUAUAGUAGAUCCAAACCAAUUGGCACGCUCAAGCACUUUCACAAACAUUUUUCCGAAGCUCUUGUAUCUGCCUAUCUGACUACCAAUCCAUAUGGGCCAACUACCCACCUACCAUAUUCUUAAUUAUAUCCGACUCAUCUGAAAUGGUAGCAAGAUUGUUCAUUUACUUGCUCUACCUCGUACAUCUAGACUGACAGCCACAUGGAAUUCAGCACUAGUCGGUCCCUAUAACCCCUUGAGAAGUUUAGGAGAUUGAAACCUAGGCAAUACGCUAUGCCCCUUUCACCCUUAGGUCAUCAAGGUUACUGCCCGUAGGCAAGAAUCCUCCAAACUUUAGAAAUCCAAAGCCAAGCAUCCAUAAAAUCAAGCAUAUAUGGCAAUCAUAAACAGUGCAACUUUUCCACACAAUAGUAUAUACUUUGUCAUACAUACAAAAAAAAAAAAAAUACAAGUCUGAGAGUAAGUCCCUUUACCUGGAAUCCAAAGUUUAAGCUUGACUUGCCUUUUGCGCCUUUGAGCUCAAACUGGGAAACUGAUUCCUAGUCCAACAUUCAAACAUAUUACUAAAAAUCUUUAUUUGCAAUAUAGUCCUUAUAACUAUCUUUAAUUUCACUUGAGCUGCAAAAAACUCACAUUUCAUGGAUGAACACAGAAAUGUCAUAGCCGGUUUGAGGUAGCUAGACCGGUCUGAUGAUGCUCAUUUUGAUAUGUGAUAGACACUCGAGCAUAUGAACAACUUUGAUGAAGGAAGUUUUCUGAUUUGAGCUUUCGAAAUUGGACUUCUAGAGUGAUGAAUAGUACCCACGAAUUUGGGUUUUCUGAAGAAGGAAGAAGACGAAUAGGGAAGGUCCCGUGUGUGAACAGUAUAAUAUAAUAUUACCCACCAAAAUUAAAGCAGCCAUGAAAACUAUAGCCACUUAUCAAAUAAUCUAAAAUAAAAAUAAUUUGCUAAGAGUUAAAGGAGAAAAAGAAGAACCUCUACGCCCUUCAAACGACGCUCCCAAACAAUACAUAGGCUACCUCUUUCACUUUUUAUGCAAUCGAAAUGUGCCAAACAUAUCUCAAUCUAAAACUCUUGGAUAAGAAUAAGGAAAAUAUGAUUGAACAGAUCCAUCGACUUUCAGGUUCCUAAGUUCAACUGAAGAGAGUUUGCCAUGCCUUGCUUUCCCCAACAAAUUGUAAGUAAGACCAUAUUGACAGUUGGUCGAAAUUUUAGACAAAGAUGUCGGCCGCGGCGAUGGAUAAACAAAAAAUAAUGAUGACGAUUGAACAUAAAUUUGUAAAUUUAUUUGGCUUUCCACGUGAUGGGUUUCGUAGAAUGAUGCUGCAGAGAUUCCCACCAAUGCUGUCAGUCAACCCUGCAUGUGAACAUCGGAUCCGUAAGGAGAUACUGUCUAAACCUGCACUGCACCAUCUUCGACUUCGUAUAAAUUUGAAGAGAAAAUUAAUGGUCUUCAUUUCAUGUGUAAAUUUGUUUUCUACUCCAGGCGUGAAUCUUUGUAUCUUAGUUGUAGACUUGCAAAGGUUUUUACAUUUUGAUGUAAUUCGGAAAUUCUUGUGUGCCAAGUAUAGUCUUUAAAUAUUAAUUAUCACCUUCUUCUCUCUAUUUCUUUGAAAAUAAACGAUCACGACCUUGCCUGUUCGUCCUAUCACUAUAUCAUUAAUUGUUAUAAAUAUAAAAUAGGUGUGAGCUGUGGUUGUGGAGUAGUUGUGUGUGCAGUCACAAUUAAUAAUCAUCUGAAUAAUGCACAUGUAUUAUUUUUGAGUUUUUCUAUUUAAACCCCACAUUUCUCUUUGUUUACCUCAAUUUCUAAUUCAAAAUUUCAAAAUUUCUAAGAAAACCCCGCUAGUCUGUCUCUCUGAAUUUAUCUUUCUAUCCACUAUUAUCCCUAAAACACCCUUUAAUUAUUAAAGUAAAAUAAUAAUAAAAUAAUAUUUUUAAACAUAGAAAACAAAAGCAAAAGCGUUCUCUCCUUCUCUCUCCCCCUUUCCCGACGCAGCCCCACCCCCUCAGCAACCCUAGCCACCAGCCCCUCCCCAACCUCUUCACCCUCCUCCACCAUGGCUUGAGAAAAAUCCUAAAAAAACUUGGUUAUUUGUGCAUGCUUACCGAAAAGAAUAAGGCUAAACAGCUUCCAAUAGCACUGAUAAAGAAUCAUACUCACCUCAGCAGGAGUUAUCUUUACACUUACUCUGAAUGCUUUCAAGUUACCUUUUAUCAUUUAGGAAAGAAAUAAAUAAAUAGUUUUCAGGAAUCACAAUGUUCCUAAUGUUCUUCCUCCACCAUGGCUUCUUCAACCUCUGCGAAACUGGGGUUGAGGACUGGGUCGAUGUCAGAGGCCUUGCUGAAAUUGAAGAUGCGGUUGCUGAACUCCAAAACUUGUUAUCAACCCUUCUGAUGAUCCAGCAAAUCAAACAAAGUUAAAAAAUGGAUUAACAUCAAAAGACUCUUUAAAGGUUUAGGGUCAUUCUCAAUAUGGGUCUUCCGAUACAUCAAGUUUAUAAAUUUGAAAAAAGUAAAUGAUAGUAGAGUUUAUGACUGAAAAAAUAUGAAAAUGACAUCAAGCUUUUUGAUAUGUUGUUUUUGACAUAUCUCUUUCGGCCUUUAAAUUCAUAUAGGAUUUGAAUACUCAAUUGGAGCAAUUUUAACCUUCAAUUUUUGUCAUUUCAUGUCAAUGUGGCAAUUUAACAUAUCGAUCGAAGAUGCUAAAAUCAAAAUUGGUUUAAUGAUCAAAUUUCAAUUAAAGCAUGAUAUUACAAAGAGUUAAAACAAAUAAAAGACAUCAUGAAAGAGAGGCAUAAAUAAUGUUCUCUCAAGUCAUAUUCACGUCAAAUUUGAAGGAUCUUUUAAAUGAUAAAAUUUUCGACGUCAUCUGCACAUAUAGUGAUGCGGGUAUUAUUGAUGUACUUUAAUUAUUUUUGAGGCUCCGCCUUCGUAUAUUUAAUUGUUUUUCCUAUUGAAGCUCAUUCUCUUUGCAAUUUUGAAAGACUCCCAAAUUUCAAUCCCCAUUUCCCUUUGAUUAAAAAACAAAAAAGAAUAUUGCAAAAGGAUGACCCACAAUGACGAUGGUAAUGCAGGGCCCAAAUUCUUGCCCAACGGACAAAACUAUGGUCCCAGAGAAGAGCCAAAAACUUCAACGUUGCUCAAAUCAACGGUCUAGUCACGGAUGAUAACGAAAACUGAAAAGCACGCCUGCACAACUGGCCGUCUGCCGCGAUCAAACUCUCCAUUCUUCACCGCUUGCACACAAUGUGCUUCCAAAAAACUUGAAAAUGAAGUUCUGCUCUCUGCGUCACCUCCUUGUACUCUUAUCCACUGACAGCAACACCUUUGUUUUUUUCUUCUUAUAGCUAGUCUAGUGCCCUCAGCUUUCCCUCCAAAACCAAGCUUUGGAUAUCUCGUCUGGAUAAUCAUUCAGGUACAAUUCUUUUCCAUUUAAAACUCCAUGUAUGUAUACAUAUACUUUGCACUUUCAAUGCCAACAAACCAAUGCCCACAGUAGCCCACAUGUUAAUAUAUUAUGGGAAGUACUAAUACCAACAUGGGUUGUGGAAUGUUGAGUCUUUUGGAUUUUUCUUGGAAAUUUUGCUUGGUUAUGCUCCCUUGCUGUUUCCUGCAUUCUGGGUUUAGUGAGUUUAGUUAAAUUGAAUGAUGGGGACCAAGAGUUUGGUGGCAUUUGUUCUUUUUGCUCUCCUAGUUUUUGAGGGUUAUUUCACUGAAAAAGUGCUUUCUGCUACUGUGACAUAUGACAACAGAGCACUGGUUAUUGAUGGGAAGCGGCGGAUUUUGCAGUCGGGCUCUAUCCAUUAUCCUCGAAGCACUCCAGAGGUGAGUUCUAGAAUCUGUUACUUAUGUGAUCGUAAUAUAUUUCAGAAAUUUUGAAAAGGCUAUCAGAGGAUGCAUUAUAAUGACAAUGUGGGAUUGUGCUUGUUGGGGUACAAUGCAGGUGUGGCCGGAAAUUAUUAAGAAAUCCAAGGAAGGGGGACUGGACGUGAUAGAGACUUAUGUUUUCUGGAACUAUCAUGAGCCUGUAAAAGGCCAGGUAUGAAUAACUCUGGCCUUUGAUGUAACUUCAUUCUAAUAUGAGCAAACCACUAGCCUCUCAGCUAGCUAGUUAGGUCCUUUAGGAAUAUUGGCAUCUAUUUUCCCCUGAAUUUGUCAUUAAUUUGAUGUUUUCUUUCAUUUCUUAUAGUACUACUUUGAAGGCAGGUUCGAUUUGGUGAGGUUUGUGAAGACAGUGCAAGAAGCUGGCCUUCUAGUCCAUUUGAGGAUUGGCCCGUAUGCUUGUGCUGAAUGGAAUUAUGGGUUUGUUUCUGUUUCAUGCUCUCUUGUGGUGUACAUUGCACUAGCAUCAGUUUCCUAGUUUUAUAUGUUCCACUCUGUUAUAGCUUUUACUGAUUCUGCAGAUAUCAUUAUCUUAUGACAGGGGAUUUCCUAUUUGGUUACACUUUAUUCCCGGAAUUCAGUUUCG